UAUUGUCACAGAAUAACUUACUCUUUCGGUUUGGGGGAAAACCGAUCUCAGUAAGUAAUCUCCUAAGCCAUAUGAUCUCCAUGAGUCCACUCUUGAUGCCUCGGAACUCUGCUUCAGCACUUGAUAAGGCUACAACCUUUUGCUUCUUACUUCUCCAAGUAACUAGGUUGCCUCCGAUGAAGGUAAAGUAUCCACCGGUUGACUUUCUAUCGACUGGAUUACUUGCCCAAUCGGCAUCUGUAUAGCCAUCUACUUCAAGGUUCAGCUCCCUCAACAAUUUUUAGCCCAUGAUUCGGUAUCAUUGGUGUGUCAGCAGGCUUGCAAUCUAAGAGGCCAGUUUCUGCCAACAUGUCGAGGACAUAUUUUCUCUGUCUUAAGAAUAUUCCAUGAUUCGACCUGAGCACUUCAAUUCCUAAGAAGUAUUUUAGAGGGCCGAGAUCUUUCAUGUCAAAUUCUUUAAACAGAUUGAUCUUGAGGUUGUUGAUUUCUUCUGUGU